GAUGAACGCUAGCGGCAGGCCUAAUACAUGCAAGUCGAACGAGAUUAAGAGGCUUGCUUCUUAUGAAAGUGGCGCACGGGUGCGUAACGCGUAUGCAACCUACCUUAAUCAGGGGGAUAGCCCGAAGAAAUUCAGAUUAAGACCGCAUAAAAACACAGGAUAGCAUUAUCCAGUGUUCAAAUAUUUAUAGGAUUAAGAUGGGCAUGCGUGUCAUUAGCUAGUUGGCGGGGUAACGGCCCACCAAGGCGACGAUGGCUAGGGGAUCUGAGAGGAUGACCCCCCACACUGGUACUGAGACACGGACCAGACUCCUACGGGAGGCAGCAGUAAGGAAUAUUGGUCAAUGGAGGGAACUCUGAACCAGCCAUGCCGCGUGCAGGAAGACAGCCCUCUGGGUCGUAAACUGCUUUUAUUCGGGAAUAAACCUUUCUACGUGUAGGAAGCUGAAUAUACCGAAGGAAUAAGGAUCGGCUAACUCCGUGCCAGCCGCCGCGGUAA
rnacentral:rRNA from 1 species